rnacentral:lncRNA from 1 species
UUGGCAAUGCAAAAAGUUGAAUCCAUCCUGGCCGUCUGAUAAGUACUCCGUCGAGUGAUCUCAUGCAGAUCUUUGUUCCCCAUGGGAUUGAAGGUUGUGUGCCCACCGUAUGCGAGAGAGGUAGCUGCAUGUUUGGCCCAAUUAGAAAUAUGAAUCGUAAAUUAAAAAAUAAUAAAUAAUUUUUUAUAAUUAUAUUAUAAUAUAUAUUAUUAAGAUAAAAUAUAAUUCGAGGACACUUGGUGAGUGAAUUGGCAAGUCUUUUAUGUUGAUGCAAUAACUUGGACUGAUUACACCCG